rnacentral:rRNA from 1 species
UACGAGGGGGGCAAGCGUUGUUCGGAAUUAUUGGGCGUAAAGAGCUCGUAGGCGGUUUGUCGCGUCUGCUGUGAAAACUGGAGGCUCAACCUCCAGCCUGCAGUGGGUACGGGCAGACUAGAGUGCGGUAGGGGAGAUUGGAAUUCCUGGUGUAGCGGUGGAAUGCGCAGAUAUCAGGAGGAACACCGAUGGCGAAGGCAGAUCUCUGGGCCGUAACUGACGCUGAGGAGCGAAAGCAUGGGGAGCGAACAGG